rnacentral:rRNA from 1 species
AAAGAUAAAGAAAUUUUGGUAAGUUUACCUUUUGUAUCAGGGGAGUUCAAAAGUAAAGAUAAUAAAGGAUCGAUUUAAACAGAGCUCCGUAUACGUUAAUUAUAGUUGAAUUUAUAAUUUUAAUCUGUUAUGUGGUGAAAAAUGCACGGUGUUUAUGGUAGCUAUUUGUUUUUUUUGUUGGGGGGUAAGCUUCCAUUAACUGUGCUAAGGUAGCAUAAUCACUUGUUACUUAAUUGGUAACUGGAAUGAAAGGUUAAACUAAUUUCCUCAGUUUGUUGUGUUUUUUAAGAAGUUAAAGUCAAGGUAAGAAUUCUUUGAUCUGCUAGGGGACGAUAAGACCCUAGAAGCUUGACAAUGAGAAUAUUUGUUAGUUAUAAAGAUUAAUUUGUUUUACUGGGGCGGUAAAGGUAUAUAAACUAUUAGAAUAUUGAGGGAUCCUUUAAAUAAAGAUAAAACGGAAAAGUUACUCUAGGGAUAACAGUGCAAUAUUUUUGGAGAGAUCUUAUCGAUAAAAAUGUUUGCAACCUCGAUGUUGAAUUAAAAUGUCUACGUGAAGCAGCAGGUACGUGAGAGGGUUUGUUCAAC